CACACUAUCAUUAACUGAAUCCAUAGGUUAAUGAGGCGAACCGGGGGAACUGAAACAUCUAAGUACCCCGAGGAAAAGAAAUCAACCGAGAUUCCCCCAGUAGCGGCGAGCGAACGGGGAGGAGCCCAGAGCCUGAAUCAGUGUGUGUGUUAGUGGAAGCGUCUGGAAAGGCGCGCGAUACAGGGUGACAGCCCCGUACACAAAAAUGCACAUGCUGUGAGCUCGAUGAGUAGGGCGGGACACGUGGUAUCCUGUCUGAAUAUGGGGGGACCAUCCUCCAAGGCUAAAUACUCCUGACUGACCGAUAGUGAACCAGUACCGUGAGGGAAAGGCGAAAAGAACCCCGGCGAGGGGAGUGAAAAAGAACCUGAAACCGUGUACGUACAAGCAGUGGGAGCACAGAGCAAUCUGUGUGACUGCGUACCUUUUGUAUAAUGGGUCAGCGACUUAUAUUCUGUAGCAAGGUUAACCGAAUAGGGGAGCCGAAGGGAAACCGAGUCUUAACUGGGCGUUAAGUUGCAGGGUAUAGACCCGAAACCCGGUGAUCUAGCCAUGGGCAGGUUGAAGGUUGGGUAACACUAACUGGAGGACCGAACCGACUAAUGUUGAAAAAUUAGCGGAUGACUUGUGGCUGGGGGUGAAAGGCCAAUCAAACCGGGAGAUAGCUGGUUCUCCCCGAAAGCUAUUUAGGUAGCGCCUCGUGAAUUCAUCUCCGGGGGUAGAGCACUGUUUCGGCAAGGGGGUCAUCCCGACUUACCAACCCGAUGCAAACUGCGAAUACCGGAGAAUGUUAUCACGGGAGACACACGGCGGGUGCUAACGUCCGUCGUGAAGAGGGAAACAACCCAGACCGCCAGCUAAGGUCCCAAAGUCAUGGUUAAGUGGGAAACGAUGUGGGAAGGCCCAGACAGCCAGGAUGUUGGCUUAGAAGCAGCCAUCAUUUAAAGAAAGCGUAAUAGCUCACUGGUCGAGUCGGCCUGCGCGGAAGAUGUAACGGGGCUAAACCAUGCACCGAAGCUGCGGCAGCGACACUAUGUGUUGUUGGGUAGGGGAGCGUUCUGUAAGCCUGUGAAGGUGUGCUGUGAGGCAUGCUGGAGGUAUCAGAAGUGCGAAUGCUGACAUAAGUAACGAUAAAGCGGGUGAAAAGCCCGCUCGCCGGAAGACCAAGGGUUCCUGUCCAACGUUAAUCGGGGCAGGGUGAGUCGACCCCUAAGGCGAGGCCGAAAGGCGUAGUCGAUGGGAAACAGGUUAAUAUUCCUGUACUUGGUGUUACUGCGAAGGGGGGACGGAGAAGGCUAUGUUGGCCGGGCGACGGUUGUCCCGGUUUAAGCGUGUAGGCUGGUUUUCCAGGCAAAUCCGGAAAAUCAAGGCUGAGGCGUGAUGACGAGGCACUACGGUGCUGAAGCAACAAAUGCCCUGCUUCCAGGAAAAGCCUCUAAGCAUCAGGUAACAUCAAAUCGUACCCCAAACCGACACAGGUGGUCAGGUAGAGAAUACCAAGGCGCUUGAGAGAACUCGGGUGAAGGAACUAGGCAAAAUGGUGCCGUAACUUCGGGAGAAGGCACGCUGAUAUGUAGGUGAAGCGACUUGCUCGUGGAGCUGAAAUCAGUCGAAGAUACCAGCUGGCUGCAACUGUUUAUUAAAAACACAGCACUGUGCAAACACGAAAGUGGACGUAUACGGUGUGACGCCUGCCCGGUGCCGGAAGGUUAAUUGAUGGGGUCAGCGCAAGCGAAGCUCUUGAUCGAAGCCCCGGUAAACGGCGGCCGUAACUAUAACGGUCCUAAGGUAGCGAAAUUCCUUGUCGGGUAAGUUCCGACCUGCACGAAUGGCGUAAUGAUGGCCAGGCUGUCUCCACCCGAGACUCAGUGAAAUUGAACUCGCUGUGAAGAUGCAGUGUACCCGCGGCAAGACGGAAAGACCCCGUGAACCUUUACUAUAGCUUGACACUGAACAUUGAGCCUUGAUGUGUAGGAUAGGUGGGAGGCUUUGAAGUGUGGACGCCAGUCUGCAUGGAGCCGACCUUGAAAUACCACCCUUUAAUGUUUGAUGUUCUAACGUUGACCCGUAAUCCGGGUUGCGGACAGUGUCUGGUGGGUAGUUUGACUGGGGCGGUCUCCUCCUAAAGAGUAACGGAGGAGCACGAAGGUUGGCUAAUCCUGGUCGGACAUCAGGAGGUUAGUGCAAUGGCAUAAGCCAGCUUGACUGCGAGCGUGACGGCGCGAGCAGGUGCGAAAGCAGGUCAUAGUGAUCCGGUGGUUCUGAAUGGAAGGGCCAUCGCUCAACGGAUAAAAGGUACUCCGGGGAUAACAGGCUGAUACCGCCCAAGAGUUCAUAUCGACGGCGGUGUUUGGCACCUCGAUGUCGGCUCAUCACAUCCUGGGGCUGAAGUAGGUCCCAAGGGUAUGGCUGUUCGCCAUUUAAAGUGGUACGCGAGCUGGGUUUAGAACGUCGUGAGACAGUUCGGUCCCUAUCUGCCGUGGGCGCUGGAGAACUGAGGGGGGCUGCUCCUAGUACGAGAGGACCGGAGUGGACGCAUCACUGGUGUUCGGGUUGUCAUGCCAAUGGCACUGCCCGGUAGCUAAAUGCGGAAGAGAUAAGUGCUGAAAGCAUCUAAGCACGAAACUUGCCCCGAGAUGAGUUCUCCCUGACUCCUUGAGAGUCCUGAAGGAACGUUGAAGACGACGACGUUGAUAGGCCGGGUGUGUAAGCGCAGCGAUGCGUUGAGCUAACCGGUACUAAUGAACCGUGAGGCUUAACCUUACAACGCCGAAGGUGUUU
rnacentral:rRNA from 1 species